AGAACGAACGCUGGCGGCAGGCCUAACACAUGCAAGUCGAACGCUCGUAGCAAUACGGGAGUGGCAGACGGGUGAGUAACGCGUGGGAACGUACCUUUCGGUUCGGAAUAACCCGGGGAAACUCGGGCUAAUACCGGAUACGUCCUGCCCCUUAAACAAGGGUGGGAGAAAGAUUUAUCGCCGAAAGAUCGGCCCGCGUCGGAUUAGCUAGUUGGUGAGGUAACGGCCACCAAGGCGACGAUCCGUAGCUGGUCUGAGAGGAUGAUCAGCCACACUGGGACUGAGACACGGCCCAGACUCCUACGGGAGGCAGCAGUGGGGAAUAUUGGACAAUGGGCGAAAGCCUGAUCCAGCCAUGCCGCGUGAGUGAAGAAGGCCUUAGGGUUGUAAAGCUCUUUCAGCGGGGAAGAUAAUGACGGUACCCGCAGAAGAAGUCCCGGCUAACUCGUGCCAGCAGCCGC
rnacentral:rRNA from 1 species